UACAGAGGUCCCAAGCGUUGUUCGGAUUUAUUGGGCGUAAAGAGCGUGUAGGCGGCCAGGGAGGUCCGUUGUGAAAACUCGAGGCUCAACCUCGAGACGCCGAUGGAAACCCCCUGGCUAGAGUCCGGAAGAGGAGAGUGGAAUUCCUGGUGUAGCGGUGAAUUGCGCAGAUAUCAGGAAGAACACCCGUGGCUAAGGCGGCUCUCUAGUACGGUACUGACGCUGAGACGCGAAAGCGUGGGGAGCGGACAGG
rnacentral:rRNA from 1 species